rnacentral:rRNA from 1 species
UAACGCGUGGAUAACCUGCCUCACACUGGGGGAUAACAGUUAGAAAUGACUGCUAAUACCGCAUAAGCGCACGGCUCGGCAUCGAGCAGAGGGAAAAGGAGCAAUCCGCUUUGAGAUGGCCUCGCGUCCGAUUAGCUAGUUGGUGAGGUAACGGCCCACCAAGGCGACGAUCGGUAGCCGGACUGGGAGGUUGAACGGCCACAUUGGGACUGAGACACGGCCCAG